CGAGGACAGCAGUCCCGGGUAGCACAUCAAGCCAGGGGCGGAGUAAAGGGCCGCGCCUGCAGCUCAUGGUCUCUCAUUCUCCACGCGGUCCGCCUGGCCCAAGGACCACUUCCCUCCUCCAUCCCCAACCCUUCCUGGGACUUCAGGACCCCGCCUGGGACCCGAGGAAGCGUCUCGCCCCUUCGCUCCGCGCUCCUGCCCCCAACCAAGGCACAAUUAGUGUGGGUCCCCAACACACCAGUUAGGAGUGUCCGGUUCCCUCUCAGCUGGAGCACAAUUUUCAGAUGAAGGCACAGGAGCCAAUUAAAUCCACCCCUGAAUCUCCACUAGGAAAACAAAAAACAAAGAACUCUGAAAGGAUCAAAGCCAGAGGUGCCUAUCCAGGCCCAGACUCUUGCCCCAGGCCCCUGCAGCC